AGAGUUUGAUCCUGGCUCAGGAUGAACGCUAGCGGGAGGCUUAACACAUGCAAGUCGAGGGGCAGCACGAGGUAGCAAUACUUUGGUGGCGACCGGCGCACGGGUGAGUAACGCGUAUGUAACCUACCCUGUACAGGGGAAUAACCCGGAGAAAUUCGGACUAAUACCCCAUAAAGAUAUUUUGAGGCAUCUUAAGAUAUUUAAAGUUUCGGCGGUACGGGAUGGGCAUGCGUAACAUUAGCUAGUUGGUAGGGUAACGGCCUACCAAGGCUACGAUGUUUAGGGGUCCUGAGAGGGUGAUCCCCCACACUGGUACUGAGACACGGACCAGACUCCUACGGGAGGCAGCAGUGAGGAAUAUUGGUCAAUGGGCGCAAGCCUGAACCAGCCAUCCCGCGUGCAGGAAGACGGCCCUAUGGGUUGUAAACUGCUUUUCCAGGGGGUGAAACUCCCGUACGAGUACGGGACUGACGGUACCCUGGGAAUAAGCAUCGGCUAACUCCGUGCCAGCAGCCGCGGUAAUACGGAGGAUGCGAGCGUUAUCCGGAUUUAUUGGGUUUAAAGGGUGCGUAGGCGGAUUAAUAAGUCAGUGGUGAAAUCCUGCAGCUUAACUGUGGAACUGCCAUUGAUACUGUUAGUCUUGAGUAUGGUCAAGGUAGGCGGAAUGUGUAAUGUAGCGGUGAAAUGCUUAGAUAUUACACAGAACACCGAUUGCGAAGGCAGCUUACUGGGCCAUUACUGACGCUGAUGCACGAAAGCGUGGGGAUCGAACAGGAUUAGAUACCCUGGUAGUCCACGCCGUAAACGAUGAUCACUCGCUGUUAGCGAUACACAGUUAGCGGCUAAGCAAAAGCAUUAAGUGAUCCACCUGGGGAGUACGGCCGCAAGGCUGAAACUCAAAUGAAUUGACGG
rnacentral:rRNA from 1 species